CAAACUGAAUGUUUGAGUGUUGAGAAGAUCUGAGUUUCUUCUAAUAUCAGUGUGUUGAAGUGUUGUUUCUCUCUCUCUGCUGGAGUUUGUGUUCACUCGAGUGGAAUAGAGGUUUUUGUACGACCGUUUCAUUAGAUUGUAUCACUGUGGUUGACUUUUGGUGGAGGAACUAAACUGGUGCUCGCUGGUCCCACAGUGAAGCCCUCAGUGUCUCUGCUGCCGCCCUCUUCUCUGCAGAUCUCUGGAGACUCAGCCGCACUGCUCUGCCUGCUCAGCUCUUACUCUCCACAGGGGGCGCUGGUGAGCUGGACACUGGACGGGUCAGAGGUCACCGAGGGGGUCGUGACCAGCGCAGAGAGCCAGCGGGACGGCCGCUACAGCCGCAGUAGCGUCCUGACCCUCAGCAAAGCACGCUGGGAAAAGGGAGAGGUGUACGUCUGCAGAGUAACACAUGAUGGAGCUCCUCAUGAGGUCUCGUUCCACAAGAGCUCUGAGUGCUGAUGUUUCUCUCCUGAAGAUGAGCCGUAUCUGAGUGUCCUGUGUCAGGCAGGAUUCACAUGAGUCUAGUGCUGCAGCUGUAGUGAUUUACAACUCAAUACUGAAAGAGAGCUGGCGUGUCAAAGCACUGUGUGAUCUUUCAAUCUGCUGUAACAUUCAAUAAAGCUUCUCAACAAGUUCACUUUGUGUCUGACAACAUCAUUCAACUAACAGAUGAAGAUGCAGGUGCUUUUCACAAACUUGAUGUAAAUGUCAAAUAAAGCUCUUGGGGUUUGAACAUGGUCUCUGGAGACAGAGCUGCUCUAUUCUGAGAGGAUCACAAUCACUCCACCCUGACAAUGCAAAUGGGCUUUUCAGUCUCACUGUUUGAUUGGUCACAUGAUCUGGACUGGAACACACCAGUUUCACUUCUGCUGAAAAUGUGGUGAUGAAAAUAUAUAUGAAAAUGUCAUGAAAAUCAAAUGGAAAGCAUCACGUCCAGACAGCAGAAGUGACUGAAUUCAGUCUGUUCAGUUUGAUUGACAGGGAUCAUAUAUUACACCUAAAACAUGAUGAUCAUAUUAAACACUGACUCAUUCUCUUCAUAAACACAAGAUUGAUGUUGAUAAUGAUCUAGUGUUAUUAGUGUUUGUCUGUGAUCAGUGUUGUGUGUGAUUGUGUUUAUGAGCAGCUGCAGCUGAAAGUCAUGUUUGCUGGUUGAUGAAGAAGAGCUCUUGAUCAUGUCAUGUUCAGUUCAUAGAGCUAUAAACACAUUCAGAGCAGUGAAGCAUGUGCCGCUCAUGUAAAACACCCUCUGAAUGCAAAAGACAGAAGAGAGAUCAGGACGAUAUACAUUCAGAGUCCAAUAGUUUUACUGACAGGGUUAAAAGAAAGGCUUUACAUCACCAAAGCACAGUAACAGUAAAUAUACAGAGUCAGACAUACACAUUUACACAUCAUUCUCUACAGGACACAACUGAAUGAUUCCUGCUGUAUCAGUAGUCAAUGAUCUUGCUGCUCAACAUUCAAACACUUGUCUAUUGUUUGCUGUAGCAGUACAGUGUACUUUCAGAAACCCUCCACCUCCCCCAGCUCCACCUGUCCAGAUCUGCUAUGGGGUGAUUCAUGUUUGCUCGUACAGCAGCAGCAUGUUGUGUGUGUUUUGGCAGUGGAAAGUUCUGUACUCUACAGCAGAUAUAAUCAACAGCAGCAGACCAAACACAUUAACAUUGUCAUAUUCAUUACCAUGACAAACUCUCCAAGAAUUGUCAUGUCAGAAAUCUAGUUCAGUCAUGAAACUGAAGAUGGCACAGGCUUCGAUCGGUCCUUUACAUGCAGUCUGUAAGCAAUCACAUCAAUACCAAAUGACUCAGGCUGAUUGGUCUCUGCUGAUCCUGCAGCCAAUGAGAUCCCUUGCUCAACAUUUAAUAGUCUGGUUCAGUGUUUGCUGUAGGCUAGUCCUGCAGCGCUAUAAGAGUUCCUCAGAAAUUCAGACAAUUAAGAUAAGUCAACAAUGUUUUACCAUUCCAGAUACAAUGUUACAAACAAAAUGCAAAUGUUUUAUUAGGGCCCGAGCACCGAUGGUGUGAGGACCCUAUUGUAAUUGCUCAACCAAUUAUUCUUAUUCUCCGAAAUAAAUCGCAUUUUUGAGGGCCUAAACGUGCUCGAAAACUCAUGAAACUUUGCACACACGUCAGAAGAGGUGAAAAUUUACAUCUGAUAUGAGUUUCAGAAUUAGGUGUGGCACAAUGGCUCGAUAGCGCCACCUACAAAAUUUCAAUUAAGCACCCUUCGUGCUAUGUUUCACGUACAGUUAUGAAAUUUGGUAGACAGAUGUAACAGCCCAAUACCUACAAAAAAGCCCCAAAAUCUGAAAACCCAACAGGAAGUGAGAUAUUUUGAAUUUUCUCUGCUAAAUUUUGGCAGUUUUUGAUGUUUUCUGAUAUAUCAAUGAAUAUAAAGCCAAACAUACACAUGUUCAAAAUGUUUGCUGUAGUGAUGAGAGAAAUUACGUUUUUGAAAACUUUAUUAUUAUUAUAAUUAAUUAUUGAUGAUUAUUAAUUAUUAAUAAAUCGGUUGACGAGCAUAGUUCCUGCAUGUGUGCUGGGUCGGGACUGUCCUCGUUCAUGUCUGUGGCAUGUACAGCAGAGACAGCCUGUCCAACAGCAUUAAGUUCUUGUUAUCAGGGACGACGUGAACCGACAGGCUUUAGAUGGGAGUCUCAGUCGUUCUGUUGGCACAGAUGCAAUCACUCGACCUGGAUAACAUCAGAGUAUUAUAAUUUAGCAGAGGGAUUUCUUUUAAGUUAUAAAGCAUAGCUGUAAUUUACCAAUUAUGUUUUCAAAAAGAAUAUUAAAGAAUAUUACAAAACAUGCAGUAGAAAAGCAAUAAUGCAAACAAAUGUUAAUAAAAAGGCUUAAAUACAAACACUUUUCUCUCUUUGCUGUGGAAGUUCAGUAUAAGAGGAAAUGUCAGGCAUCUUAGGGGGGCACUGCAGUAUUGAUCUGGUGAAGGAGGAGGCCAUCGAGUAAAAAAGGUUGAGAAACACUACACUAGUGUCAUCACAUCGACACAACGUCAAAGUGACUGACAGAUAGAGAACUCAGUUAUGUAACAGACACGCCAUCUAGUGAUGAAGCAUGGAAGUGCAAUUAAAGUGACGGACUUUCCUGCAGUUCGAUUACAUUGUAGUGGAAAGUUUUGCAGUGCCAAGCACCACUAACAUUUAUAUAAUAUAAAGAUGAUGUUACAUGCUUAGUACAUCAAAAUAAAUAAAUAAUGUUUCUGAAAGGUUUAAUAAAACAUUGUGUUGUUUGUGAUCCUCCAUCAGCAGCUGCAGUAUCUCUCAGCUGUAUCAGUGCAUCACUGUGACGUCUGACUGACCGAGGUUUUUGUACCACUCUUUAUCACUGUGUGAACACCCUAGUGCUGCCUGGAUAGUGGAAACUCUGACAGUAAUAAUCUCCUGUAUCUUCAGUCUGGACUCCACUGAUGGUCAGAGUGAAAUCACUGCCAGAUCCACUGCCACUGAAUCUAGAUGGAGUUCCUGUAUAACGGCUUGUUGCUGCAUAUAUGAGGAGUUUAGGAGCUUCUCCAGGUUUCUGUAAGUACCAGUAUAAACGAU